AUAUUCCAAAUAGAUUAUGGUGGGGAAAAAUUGUGAUUGAAAACCUCUUCCACCUGAAGUAUGUGGAUAGUUAAUACAAUGCUAAACAAAAAUCUGCACACCAGUCAAGCCAUAAGACUUUCUUUUCCCACAGAAAUCCCAAAUCAGCAGUGAUGUUACAACCGCAAAGGAUUCUGGGUGGGCAUAUGCAAAUUAGUUUAACAAAGAAUCACAUUUUUGCCUCAUUCCAUUUUAAACAUGG